UAGCGUUUGAUCCUGGUUCAGAGCGAACGUUAGCGGCGGGCCUAACACAUGCAAGUCGAGCGAGAAAAGGGCUUCGGCCCUGAGUAAAGCGGCGGACGGGUGAGUACUACGUAGGUAACCUUCCUUCGAGCGGGGGACAACGGUCCGAAAGGACCGCUAAUACCGCAUACGUUCCCGAGGACUCCGGUCCUCGGGAGGAAAGCUAGGGUAGCAAUACUCCGGCACUCCAAGCGGGGCCUACGCCGCAUCAGCUAGUUGGUGGGGUAAUGGCCUACCAAGGCAAAGACGCCGUAGCUGGUCUGAGAGGAUGAUCAGCCACACUGGGACUGAGACACGGCCCAGACUCCUAC
rnacentral:rRNA from 1 species